GUUCGAGGGAGAGGAGAAAAUUGUAGACAAGAACCAGGACACGCUCGUACGGCAGAGAAAACCAAUCCCCGUGAGCGGGCAUGUGCUAAAUACUUUGGAGUGAUCAUCAUCAUUAUCAUCAUCAUCAAAAAUGCCAUGCGUCAGCCUUCUCGAGUGGUACACUUUCCGAGCACGCUAUACAACGAGUCACUGCACAGCGAACGGCAGCUACUGAACAGUCGCAGACCAGCUGCAAUCGCGCUCGCUGCGACGCAUUUCGCAAACGCCGCUUGUGCCUCGAGGAUGGCGUCGUCGGGCCGAGCUGCUGGCUCCGCUGGCCUCAACGCCGGUCUCUCCAGGGACGACGACGGCCGGAUGAGCGCUUGCAACGGCUACGCCACGCUGGGGGGCGGCGACUGCGAGCUGUCGGCGAGCAGCAGCAGCGACGACAGCAGCAGCGGGGACGACGACGGCACCAGUAGCGGCGACAGCAGCAGCAGCAGCGGUUCCAGCAGCGACAGCGGAAGCAGCGACGUCGCGCAGGCCGGCGCGUCCCAGUCGGAGGACAUCGACAUCGAAGAGGCGCCGACCGUCUCCAUCGUCGCAGCCGGGGCCGCCUUCGCUGCGAGCGAGCCACAGAUGGGCAUCUGGAUUCAGCCGAACGUCGUCCGCCCGGCGGACCUUCCCAGUGACCACCCGGACGAAGUUCACGACUGGAGCGCUUGGCCAAAGUUCCCUCCCAAGAAGGACGCGGAUCAGCAGCCCGCGAUCGCUCCGAGCCUGCCGGCCAAGGUUCCCCAUGUCACGCUCGUCAACCAGCACGAGUUCCUGCUGCCUAGGAUGGAACUGCUGAUACACACACAGGGCAGGUUCAUGCAGCCAGCGCCUUCGUUUCGGAUUACAAACUUGGUGGACGACUUGCAGUACACGGCCUGGCUCACCUUCACGGAUUCCACUGGGAGCGAAUGCGUUGGUCAGUACUGCCACCCGGAUUCACCGCGGCCCGGUUUUUGGUUGAAGGGCCGGGUGCUGUCGUUUUCCAAGCUCAAGCUCUUCUCCAACGAGAAAAACAUCCCGAACCCGCCUCCGGUUCAUGAAGCCAGCGCCUGAAUUUCGGAUCACAAACUUGGUGGAUGAGUGGCAGUACAAGGCCUGGCUCACCUUCACGGAUUCCACUGGGCGCCAAUGCGUUGGUCAGUACUGCCACCCGGAUUCACCGCGGCCCGGUUUUUGGUUGAAGGGCCGGGUGCUGUCGUUUUCCAACCUCAAGCUCUUCUCCAACGAGAACAACAUCCCGAACCCGCCUCCGAUCAGUCUGAGGGGUUACCGCGCUUACCGUAUCCAAGUGAAUGUUGGGAUUGUGGACGAUUACGGACACAUCGUCAGCGCAUCGGUCGUCCGGC
rnacentral:misc_RNA from 1 species